rnacentral:lncRNA from 1 species
UGAAAGUUUGGAAUUGGAGUGAGUAAAGCAGACUUGAAGACUCGAGUGAGAUGAAUCAAUUGCCUUGUAUUUGACAUUUUGAGCCACUAAGUUUUUAUGUUGUGUUGGUUCAGUUAAUGUGAGAUAUAGAUUUUCUUAUUAGAUGGAAGGAUUCAGUAAUACUUUCUGACUUGCUGAUUAUGUGAAUUAUCCUGAUUCAUCAUGCCUUCUGUUGACAUGUUAACUGAGUUGUUAUAGUUAUGACAAAUCAUGUUGCUGCCUGCCUAUGAACUUGUCGUAUUGCAUAUUGGACUGGCUUGCUGAUUUUUAUGAAAUGGUUAUGGUUUAAACGCAAGAGUUUGGCUCGAGGUUGUCUGGCUUUGCUGCUGAAGGCAUUGCUGAUCAAUGAGUGCUUGCUAAAAUAUGUUGAAAUUCAUGGUUAUUUUCUCAUGUUCAACUCAUGACUUUGAUGGACUUCUUUUGAAGCCUCAGCGUAGGACUAUGCAGAGAUUUCAAUGUUUGGUAUGUUGUUGCAGAAACAAGGCAAUGACAGAUCAUGUAUGUGUGAUUAGUGCAAUGUAUGUGAUUAGGAUAAGUUAAAUGGUUUGAGUGUAGGCUUAUGUAUGCACAUUUCGAUUAUGACUUUGUUUUUCUUCUUUUAUGCAGCAUGGUAAACCUCUUGCAUUUGCUUGGAUUGUGUGGUUUUGGUUGUAGGAACAACAUUUCAUGCAUGUAGUUUUUCUUGGCUAUGAGAAUCAUGGUGAUGCAAUCAUAACUUGGCUCAUCAAAGGUCAUGGAAGCAGGCUUGAACUUGGUUCUGUAUGCUAAGUGUAUAUGUUUGGAUGCAUUUCCAUGGCUAUUUUUGCAGGGUUGUGAUGAAUUGGGUCAUACUUGGAUUAGUGCUUGUAAUGAAAUGGUUUCAAGAUAUGGCAAGAGACUUUGAUGACAAAACAAGGCAUGGUGCAAAAAUGGUUUUCUUAUUCAUGAAGAAUGUUUGGUAAUGGAAAGAUGGGAAGGACAUGGAAUUAAAUUAGAAAUUAGGGUUAGGUCAUGAAAAAAAGUUGGUUGACUUUGGUCAUCUGGUUGACCAAAAAGUCAAUAGUUGACCACAAAGUCAACAGUUGACCAAAAAGUCAACCUUUAGAAAAUAUAAUUUUGAUUUCCUUUUGUAAUGAAACAAUGCAUUCUUUGAUAGGUGAGUGUAUAAUCAAUGUUUUAAAUGUAAGGAUCAUCAAUGUAUGAGGAUUAAAACUUAACUUUUGCAUGA